CCUACGGGUGGCAGCAGUGAGGAAUAUUGGUCAAUGGACGAGAGUCUGAACCAGCCAAGUAGCGUGAAGGAUGACUGCCCUAUGGGUUGUAAACUUCUUUUAUAUGGGAAUAAAACGUUCCACGUGUGGGAUUUUGUAUGUACCAUAUGAAUAAGGAUCGGCUAACUCCGUGCCAGCAGCCGCGGUAAUACGGAGGAUACGAGCGUUAUCCGGAUUUAUUGGGUUUCAAGGGAGCGUAGGUGGAUUGUUAAGUCAGUUGUGAAAGUUUGCGGCUCAACCGUAAAAUUGCAGUUGAAACUGGCAGUCUUGAGUACAGUAGAGGUGGACGGAAUUCGUGGUGUAGCGGUGAAAUGCUUAGAUAUCACGAAGAACUCCGAUUGCGAAGGCAGUUCACUGGACUGCAACUGACACUGAGGCUCGAAAGUGUGGGUAUCAAACAGGAUUAGAUACCCGGGUAGUC
rnacentral:rRNA from 1 species